GCACAACCGUAAUAGUAUACACUUAUAAAGAAAAGAAUGAAAUAGAAUUUUCGUUUUCACAUUGAUAAAACAGUAUAGUAACAACUAUUGAUCACUAUUUAAACUUGAGUUGUGUCACGUUAUGAGAAAAAAGGGGAUAAGUCUUUGAUACUGAAUUUCUAGGGAAUAAGAAAUGUGAGUUAUUUAUUUUAUUUCACAUAAUGUUAAUUGGAACAUAAGGAUAAUAUGUAAAGAAAUUUGAAAUAGCAAGUUAAUUAUCUACAAUGAUCGCGAUUUCUUUUAUUCAUAUUUUCGCGGGAUUUGAACAGGAAGUCGGAUUGCCCAUGCGCAUUAUUUAAACGCGCCUUUCCUGUAUUUCAAAAAGAAUAACAAAGGACGAGGUUGCAGAGAAACUGUCCGUUUAUCACGCAUAUUUAUGUUUCUUGUCAAACAAAUCAUUGGCUGUAAUGCAUCAAGUGGAGCAAAAUCCAAAAUCAGUUUUGGAAAUGCCAGUCUUUAAAAUCAUCAAAGAGGUUAAAUAUACUGCAAAAGUAUAAAGAUGUCAUUGGGAAAUACACAUCUGAUAAAGACCCCUCCUGCUUAAAGUCUACCUACCGCAGAAAUAUCUUGAAGUGGUGGAAGAAUGAUGACAUUCAAUCAGGACAAACAGAGACAAAGAUAACAAAUGAAUUUAUAA